rnacentral:rRNA from 1 species
GAUGAACGCUGGUUGCGUGCCUAAUACAUGCAAGUCGAGCGAACGGACGAGAAGCUUGCUUCUCUGAUGUUAGCGGCGGACGGGUGAGUAACACGUGGAUAACCUACCUAUAAGACUGGGAUAACUUCGGGAAACCGGAGCUAAUACCGGAUAAUAUUUUGAACCGCAUGGUUCAAAAGUGAAAGACGGUCUUGCUGUCACUUAUAGAUGGAUCCGCGCUGCAUUAGCUAGUUGGUAAGGUAACGGCUUACCAAGGCAACGAUGCAUAGCCGACCUGAGAGGGUGAUCGGCCACACUGGAACUGAGACACGGUCCAGACUCCUACGGGAGGCAGCAGUAGGGAAUCUUCCGCAAUGGGCGAAAGCCUGACGGAGCAACGCCGCGUGAGUGAUGAAGGUCUUCGGAUCGUAAAACUCUGUUAUUAGGGAAGAACAUAUGUGUAAGUAACUGUGCACAUCUUGACGGUACCUAAUCAGAAAGCCACGGCUAACUACGUGCCAGCAGCCGCGGUAAUACGUAGGUGGCAAGCGUUAUCCGGAAUUAUUGGGCGUAAAGCGCGCGUAGGCGGUUUUUUAAGUCUGAUGUGAAAGCCCACGGCUCAACCGUGGAGGGUCAUUGGAAACUGGAAAACUUGAGUGCAGAAGAGGAAAGUGGAAUUCCAUGUGUAGCGGUGAAAUGCGCAGAGAUAUGGAGGAACACCAGUGGCGAAGGCGACUUUCUGGUCUGUAACUGACGCUGAUGUGCGAAAGCGUGGGGAUCAAACAGGAUUAGAUACCCUGGUAGUCCACGCCGUAAACGAUGAGUGCUAAGUGUUAGGGGGUUUCCGCCCCUUAGUGCUGCAGCUAACGCAUUAAGCACUCCGCCUGGGGAGUACGACCGCAAGGUUGAAACUCAAAGGAAUUGACGGGGACCCGCACAAGCGGUGGAGCAUGUGGUUUAAUUCGAAGCAACGCGAAGAACCUUACCAAAUCUUGACAUCCUUUGACAACUCUAGAGAUAGAGCUUUCCCCUUCGGGGGACAAAGUGACAGGUGGUGCAUGGUUGUCGUCAGCUCGUGUCGUGAGAUGUUGGGUUAAGUCCCGCAACGAGCGCAACCCUUAAGCUUAGUUGCCAUCAUUAAGUUGGGCACUCUAAGUUGACUGCCGGUGACAAACCGGAGGAAGGUGGGGAUGACGUCAAAUCAUCAUGCCCCUUAUGAUUUGGGCUACACACGUGCUACAAUGGACAAUACAAAGGGCAGCGAAACCGCGAGGUCAAGCAAAUCCCAUAAAGUUGUUCUCAGUUCGGAUUGUAGUCUGCAACUCGACUACAUGAAGCUGGAAUCGCUAGUAAUCGUAGAUCAGCAUGCUACGGUGAAUACGUUCCCGGGUCU